GUACACAUCAUCAGGGCACUCAAAUUCUUGUGGUCCCUCCGGAGUUAUGAGCUUCACUUUGUAUGUAGCCAUGGCUGUUAUCCUGGCCCCACGCCCUGUCUUGACUCCAAACAGAGACUGACCCACAUUAGGAAGCGACCGGAGGCUCGUCACCGGUCGGUUUCGGAGGAAGGAUGUGCUGAUCAUGGUGCCUGAGAUUGCAGCCGAGGUUGC
rnacentral:misc_RNA from 1 species